GACGAACGCUGGCGGCGUGCUUAACACAUGCAAGUCGAACGGAAAGGCCCUGCUUUUGUGGGGUGCUCGAGUGGCGAACGGGUGCGUAACACGUGAGUAACCUGCCCUUGACUUUGGGAUAACUUCACGAAACUGGGGCUAAUACCGGAUAGGAGCUCCUGCUGCAUGGUGGGGGUUGGAAAGUUUCGGCGUUUGGGGAUGGACUGGCGGCUUAUCAGCUUGUUGGUGGGGUAGUGGCUUACCAAGGCUUUGACGGGUAGCCGGCCUGAGAGGGUGACCGGCCACAUUGGGACUGAGAUACGGCCCAGACUCCUACGGGAGGCAGCAGUGGGGAAUAUUGCACAAUGGGCGGAAGCCUGAUGCAGCAACGCCGCGUGCGGGAUGACGGCCUUCGGGUUGUAAACCGCUUUCGCCUGUGACGAAGCGUGAGUGACGGUAAUGGGUAAAGAAGCACCGGCUAACUACGUG
rnacentral:rRNA from 1 species